UACGAGGGGUGCAAGCGUUGUCCGGAAUCAUUGGGCGUAAAGGGUGCGUAGACGGAAUAUUAAGUCUGAUGUGAAAGCCUACAGCUUAACUGUAGAGGGUCAUUGGAUACUGGUAUUCUUGAAUCACAGAGGGGGUAGUGGAAUUCCAGGUGUAGCGGUGAAAUGCGUAGAUAUCUGGAGGAACACCGGUGGCGAAGGCGACUGCCUGGCUGUGAAUUGACGUUGAGGCACGAAAGCGUGGGUAGCAAACAGG
rnacentral:rRNA from 1 species